GUGGGGAAUAUUGGGCAAUGGAGGAAACUCUGACCCAGCAACGCCGCGUGAAGGAUGAAGGUUUUCGGAUUGUAAACUUCUGUCGCGAGGGACGAAGAAUGACGGUACCUCGUAAGAAAGCCCCGGCAAACUACGUGCCAGCAGCCGCGGUAAUACGUAGGGGGCGAGCGUUGUCCGGAAUGACUGGGCGUAAAGGGAGUGUAGGCGGCUCUUUAAGUUAUAUGUGAAAUCCCGCGGCUUAACCGUGGAAGUGCAUAUAAAACUGGGGAGCUGGAGUGCAGGAGAGGUGAGUGGAAUUCCUAGUGUAGCGGUGGAAUGCGUAGAUAUUAGGAAGAACACCGGUGGCGAAGGCGGCUCACUGGACUGUAACUGACGCUGAGGCUCGAAAGCGUGGGGAGCAAACAGG
rnacentral:rRNA from 1 species